AGCAAGGUCAGCUAAUUGAAGCUCUUGGGCUCAUACCCCGAAAAUGUUGGUUAAAUCCCUUCCCUCGCUA
rnacentral:tRNA from 1 species